GCCACCGCGGAGGGAGGAGGCGCGGUCGGGCCCCGCCCAGCGAGCAGGGCCCGCUGUUUUGCAAACCUCUGCUGGGGUCCCAGCGCCUCGUCGGUUUUCGCCAUCUUCUUUAUGCAGGUGCCCAGCCUCCCAGGAGGAAGAUAACGCUGAGGAGUGAACAGAAAGGAUUUUCCUGCGCCCACUCGGAAUGCAGAGAAGAAUCCUGUGGAAAAUCCAAAUGGCAUCCACGGACCAAGAAUUUAUUCGAGAAACAGAUGACCUGCUCUGGACUCAUCUUCUGAGCUGAUGGUGUGAGGCUGAACCAAACCCUGACGGCUGUCACCCACGAUGAGUAAAGGUGGAUCCCAGCGCAUCUGCAGCGAAGGCGCGCUCCUCGAGCACCUGCGCGCUCCCCUCCCCCACUGCCUUCAGGAAUGAGAGAGGAGGCAGCAGGCCCAGGGUGGGAGCUGGGAAGGCUCGGCCGCAGAGCGUGGCCCUGGAAUCGCAGGUGACCUUCCACUCUCCAGGUGCUCAGACCACCUGAAGCACCUGCCUCCUCUUCUGCUCCCUCUCCCCAUCCUGCCUCACUUCCCAUGGCCUCCUUCAUUCCAGCCAUUCUGGAGAAUACCUCCCUACUUGCCCCCAGCCAUGAUACUUCAGAGAUGAGCACCAAGACGACAAACCUCCUUCAUAUUAAUGUUUAUUGUUAGAUAUUGGUUGGUUGGUGAAUGUAUCCACAUGUUGGGAGUGUGAGACACCCAAGCUCCACAGGAAUAGAAGCUCCUGUGCUUGGGACCCUUGGGGACUUCCUUCCAUGUACCUCGUCAUCUGGAUGUUCAUUUAUGAAUUUCUUUUCACAGAGUCAUUAUUAGCAUGAUGGGCGAGACUGGUAGAAACAAUGGAUAUUAUCGGAUGGGCCUGUGUUGUACUGUUUAGCAAUCCCUUAUGUGCUAAGAUCAUAAUGUGUUCUAAAAUGUGGUAGCUUAUGAAGGAUUUUCUGAGUGUAUUGGCUACUUUGCCUGCCUUCUGUUUACAUUUGGAAGCAUGGCAUUAUCCACUAGGGAUUAACCAGUAAUUCUGGCCAUUACAACAACGUAUAGGUGACUCCCCAUUACUUCUUCCCUUCACAUUUGGCCAUAACUGUCAAACUGGUUCUUGAGUGUGGGUCAUACCUACAUCUGCUUUCUGCCUCCAGAGCCCCCUGAUUCCUACAGCCCCCACCUUGCAAGCAUAGUUCUCUUCUGGAAGAGCCUUAGAACUACCUCUGUGUUCCUUUAUUUCUCUCUUCUUUCUGAUUCUCUAUGCAAAGAUAAACAAAGCCAAGGGGUUCCUGGCUGUCUCCAUUGCUAGAACUCAAGAUCCCAGGGUCUUGAGUUCAAGCCCCAUGUUGGGCAUAGAGCUUACUUUUUAAAAAAGGAGAAAGCCACACAGUAGAUGAAGUGGUAAGAACAGGUUUUAAUUAGUAAUACAUUAUUGCAUUAGAGAAAGAGUCCAGUGUGAACUGAACCCAAAAGAUGUGAUCUGGAAAAGAAGAGGGAGGGGGUAUCCAGGAAGUAAAGAAUGAACAAGAGUGGAGAAGAAGGGUUGGUCUGUGUGAAAGUCAUCAGGGCUUGCUAAUUAGAGCUUACUACCCUCCUGCAGAGGCUGGGGAGCUGGGAUCCUCUCUUCAGAGUUGAAGAACAAACGGUACGUUCUUUUGGCAGUCUUGAGUUUUCUCAGGCAAGCACUCCAAGGAGUCCAGUCUCAUCCUAGGAAGGCGGCCUUGAGCUGUGUUAUCAGUGUUUGUUCGAGUCUUUAUAGGCCAAGGUUGAGGCCUAGUUGAGAAGAGGACUCAGAGGGGCCUGGCUACAGUUGGCCCACAGAGACAAGCUGUGUCACCCAGCAAAACAUUUGAGCUGAGAUUCUGGGCAUUCUCUUCUCUUUUCAGGUCCCAAAGCACAGAGGGCUGAGGCUCCGACUUCAUGAAGAUGGUGGCCAGCAGCCUCAUCUGCAAGCCAACCUUGUCUUUUCUGGUUGGACCAGGGGGCUUUCCUUCUCCUUGGUGCUACCCUGAGAAACCAAAUGAUCCUCUGUGUUGGUCCCUGGGGAAGAAGGAAUCCCUUGUCAAUCCUUCAGGUGGAGGAUUACUUCAGGAAAAGCCUGACCUUCUGGGGCUGCUCAAUGCAAAAGCAAAUUUUUCCAUGACGCCCGUCACCAUAGAUCCGGCCUGCUUUUGGGCUUGAAAUAAAUGGACACAUACAGAUUUACUCUUUCUUUCCAAGAUUUUCUCUGCUCACAUUAGAGUUUGUGAGAUUUAUACAUAUUGUUGUGUGUUAAAUGGAUCAAAAAACAUGCCAUGGGGGCAACAGGAACCUGGUCUUGGGGGCAGGACUACAGGUGGUGAGGCAUGAUUCCCACAACUGCCCCUCUACCCCUCCUGCAAAGCCAGCCUCUGCUCCUUUUUAAAAAUUAUGACACUAGGAUGCCUCAGUGGCUCAGUGGUUCAGUAUCUGCCUUUGGCUCAGGGCGUGGUCCUGGGGUCCUAGGAUUGAGUCCCACAUUGGGCUCCCCUCGGGGAGCCUGCUUCUCCCUCUGCCUAUGUAUCAGCCUCUCUCUCUCUGUCAUGAAUAAUUAAAAUCUUUAAAACAAAAUUUUGAUGCUAAAAGGAACAUAUACUUGUUUUAAAAGACCACAAGUUUUAACAAUAUAGAAAGGUAAACAUUUUAAAGUAAAAGUCCCUUUCUGCUCGCAUAAUUCAUACAAAUCCACUUCCCAGUAAUAAUAACCAGCACUGCUAAUAAUAGCUUACAUUUACUGAACAGUUACUAUAUGUAAGGCAUGUUCCCAAGCAUUUUACCGCGAUUGCUUUAUGAAGAUUUGUCAUGUAUUCUUCCCAUUGUUUUAUAUGGAUAUACGCAUAUCCUUUUCAUAUUAAGUAAAGGAUUUAUGCUCUCAUAUUAUUAGUAAACUUGUUCUUUUCACUUACAAAGUAUCUUGGACAAUUUCUGGAUCACAACACAUAUGUCUUCCUCAUUCUUCUUCACUUGCAUAGUUGGUAUUGAAUGGAUUUGGGACCAUACUUUAUUAAACAAGUCCUCUGGGGGCACCUGGUUGGCUCAGUAGGUUAAGCUUCUAUAUUCAGCUUGGAUUGUGAUCCCAGAGUCCUGGGAUAGAGCCCCUGUAUUGGGCUCCCUGGUCAAUGGGGUAUCUGCUUCUCCC